CGCAGGUAAUCGCUCGUGUUCGAGGUUCACGGCCCUGUCUGGCAAACAAAGACCAUAGAAAAGAGAAAAACAAAAUCAUGGAAAUCAGUAUCACCGGCAAAAAAAUUGAACCAAUGAAAUUGAAAUCGUAUAUAGAUAAAAUUUAAAAAUUCAUUGAAAAUGAAGAUACGAGUGAACCUACUUGAUGAAAGUGUGAAUUCAA